GGGGUCUAUGGGGUCUCUAUGGGGUCUAUGGGGUCCCUUUGGGGUCACUUCUGUCCCCCCCAGGUCCCGGCGCUCCAUUGGACUCCAACAGAGACAAGCCGACGUUGGAUCAGCCCCAAAGCAGCUUCCAGAUCAUCCCCCCUGUGCGAUACCCCUCCCACGUCCCCCCCCAGCUCUAUGGGGCGGCACCGGAGACGAUCCCGAUCCCGAACCCGAACCUGAACCCAAAGCUCUCGUGGGUCACACGGGGACAUGGAGAUAUAGGUUCCCCCCAACUCCCCCAUCAGCCCCGAAUCUCCACCAGCAGAACGGAACCAGACAGAGCGUCCCCCACGUGCGGCCCUGAGAGCGAGGAUGACUACAGCAACGAGGUGUACGCCUCCGGAUACGUGAAGGUGCUUCCGGACCCACAGGACUCGACGCAGCAACAACACGACAACGACCAGCCCCACAACCACGCCACCCCCACAGAGCCGUACGAGAACGUCCCCGAUGUGACCCGACACUCCCUGGGUGAGUCCCUG